CGAAGGUCUACUCUUGCUUAGUUUCUGCAUUGCUGAUCUCAGGCACUAACUACCUGCCGUGGUCCCCUGGAACCCCAGCAGAUUCCUCUUCCUGUCAUCGGCUGCCCGGGCAUGAAAUCCAGCCUAUCUCCACUCUACCUGCUUAGGCUCUAGAGCUGCAUUCUUCUCCGUUCAAGGUCUACACUUGCUUUGUUCCUGCAUUCCUGGUGUCAGGCACUCUGCCUGCUGUGGCCCCUGGCACCUCAACAAAUGUUCAUCCUUCUUCCACUGCUGCUGGGCUUGUUAGUCAGCACCUCUCCAAUCCAAUCCAUCUACUUAGCCUCCAGUCUGCAUUCUUCUCUGGUCAAAAUCUGAAAUGAGUUAAUUUUCCUUCAAAUGAACAAAUUGCUCUUAGGAAACAAAGGAAGGCUGGGAUCAGAUCUUCUACUUCACUAGGUAGAACUAAAUUGCAAAUGGCAUUAAAGUUUAUAUCUAGUUAAUCACGGGAAAAAGAACAGGAGGCAAAUGUGGAGUAAAUAAAGGAAACAGCAAGUCCAAGCAAUCUUAAGUCUAAAAGGAA